CCUACGGGAGACAGCAGUGAGGAAUAUUGGGCAAUGGGCUUACGCCUGAACCAGCCAAGUCGCGUGAGGGAAGACUGCCCUAUGGGUUGUAAACCUCUUUUGUCAGGGAGCAACGCCGGCUACGUGUAGCCGGACUGGGAGUACCUGAAGAAAAAGCAUCGGCUAACUUCGUGCCCGCCGCCGCGGUAAUAUGGGGGAUGCGGGCGUUAUACGGUGUUAUUGGGUUAAAAGGGUGCGUGGGCGGAAUGCCAAGUCAGCGGGAAAAUCGCGGGGCUCAACCUCGGUCCGCCUUUGAAACUGGCGUUCUUGAGUAGGCGAGAGGUAUGCGGAAUGCGUAGUGUAGCGGUGAAAUGCAUAGAUAUCACGAAGAACACCGAUUGCGAAGGCAGCAUACCGG
rnacentral:rRNA from 1 species